rnacentral:misc_RNA from 1 species
GAUGAAGAACGCAGCGAAAUGCGAUAAGUAGUGUGAAUUGCAGAAUUCAGUGAAUCAUCGAAUCUUUGAACGCACAUUGCGCCCCUUGGUAUUCCAUGGGGCAUGCCUGUUCGAGCGUCAUUUGUACCUUCAAGCUCUGCUUGGUGUUGGGUGUUUGUCCUUUUUCUUGCAGAGGGACUCGCCUUAAAGUAAUUGGCAGCCAGUGUUUUGGUUUUGAAGCGCAGCACAAGUCGCGAUUCAAGGCUAUACGCCAGUUUCCACAAGCCCUUUAUCACUUUGGACCUCGGAUCAGGUAGGGAUACCCGCUGAACUUAAGCAUAUCAAUAAGCGGAGGA